CAGCCGUAAACUAUGCGCGUUAGGUGUAUCGGUGACCACGAGUUACCGAGGUGCCGAAGGGAAACCGUGAAACGUGCCGCCUGGGAAGUACGGUCGCAAGGCUGAAACUUAAAGGAAUUGGCGGGGGAGCACCACAACGGGUGGACGCCUGCGGUUUAAUUGGACUCAACGCCGGGAAGCUCACCGGAUAAGACAGCGGAAUGAUUGCCGGGCUGAAGACUCUGCAUGACUAGCUGAGAGGAGGUGCAUGGCGUAGACGUCU
rnacentral:rRNA from 1 species